GAUGACAACAGAUGCCCCAUGAUGAGCUGGAAUGUUCGUGGCAUGAACACUCCUGCCAAACGAGAAUCCAUUCAUGAAAUUGCACUUGCACAUAGACUAGCUAUUCUUUGUCUUUAGGAGACAAAGAUCGACACAUGGGAUCGACGACUAGUUGCAGACACAGGAGGUGCAUUGCUCGCUGAUUGCAUUGUACUUCCUAUCGUCGGCAUGAUGGGCGGAGCUGCGAUUUUCUGGAACGCAAACAUCGUCUCUGUUUCCUCUCAUAGCAUAGGGCAGUUUGCCAUCACUGCCAGAGUUACUUUGCUGCCAACUAACCAGUCCUUUUGGCUCACCACGGUGUACGGGCCAGCCGACGACGCCUGCAAAGAUGAUUUCCUUCUCGAGCUCUCACGAAAUGCACCACCUGCUUCUGAACCUUGGUUGCUCAAUGGUGAUUUCAACAUCAUUUAUAAGGCUAGUGACAAGAACAAUCUCAACCUUAAUAGAAGGAUUAUGGGCCGGUUCAGAAACGCCAUAGACACGGCCGGGCUGAGAGAGAUCAAGUGCAAGAACCGUAGAUACACCUGGAGCAACGAGUGCCAAAACCCUACCCUAGUUAGCAUAGAUAAAUUCUUCUGUAACACCAAUUGGGAACUGCUCUUCCCAAAUGACAUUCUGAUGGCAUCUUGGACGGUCGUUUCUGACCACUACCUACUCUUGUUGACCAAUGUUUCCACGUCACCCAGAAGAGCAAGUUUCAGAUUUGAAGAGUUCUGGCCACGCUUCCCUCAUUUCUAG
rnacentral:rRNA from 1 species